GAGCGCUCCCUCUGCGCUUUGGAGGCUUCGCAUUGCUAUCACUGAAGCCAAGGAGCCUGCAUUCGCUCCAUAGGACGCACACACAUUUCCCCUUAAUUUUUGGAGGGGAAAAAGUGUGUCCUAUAGAACGAGAAAUAUGGUAUAUUGAAAUUAGUUAAGCAGUUUUAAUUUUUGCUUUAGAUAUGCUCUGUAUACUCCAUACUUUGUUCCUACUGUGCAUUCCACAUUGCUAAGUCAAAAGGUUGCCAGCCACCACUUGGCUAUUUACACGUGCUGUGGCUUUGGGCUAUUUCUACAACACCCAAACACAUACACUGACAUACACAAAGAAGUGUCCAGGGCAGCUGUCUACUAGCUCCACCUGCUAUUCCGGCUGAGACCCUACCUGCCUGUGCACUGUCUCGCCAGAGUGGUACACUCUUGGACUACUGCAAUGCGCUCUACAUAGGGCUACCUUUGAAGGUCAGUCAGAAACAACAACGAAUCCAGAAUGUGGCAGCUGGGCUGGUGACUGGCAGUGGCCACCAGGACCAUAUAAUUCCAGUCCUGAAAGACCUACGCUGGCUCCCAGUACGUUUCUGAGCUCAAUUCAAAGUGUUGGUGCUGACCUUUAAAGCCCUAAAUGGCCUCGGCCCAGUAUACCUGAAGGAAUGUCUCCACCUCUAUCCUUCUGCCCGGACACUGAGGUCCAGCUCCCAAGGCUUUCUGGUGGCUCCCUAACUGUGUAAAGUUACAGGGGACAAGGCAGAGGGCCUUCUCAGUAGUAGCGCCUACCCCAGGGGUCAGCAACCCGCAGCUCCGGAGCCGCAUGAAGCUCUUUUACACCUUUGCUGCGGCUCCGGGGCGGAUACUAGCGAGGGGAGGAGGCGCAUUGUGCGCCCCGACACUCCCCACUGUGGCGGGCGCUGUACUGGCUAUGACGUUGCAUGGGGGCAGUGCGUGCGUUAGUCACGCACCGUCCCGACGUCACCUUCCCGCCCACCCGCUACAUUGUAAGGGGCAUGUACACUGGUCACUGCAUUGAAAGAGGGCAUGUACGCUGGUCACUGUUUUGAAGGGGAGUAUAGAACACACACACACAAAAAGGUAACUUGUUAAUUUAACGUUUAUUUCUAUGAGGAGGAGUAAUUCUGAGGGGUCAAACAAAGAAAUAAUAAAAAAGUGACAAAAAAGUUAUUUUUAUAAUGACGAGUUUUGCGGCUCCCAGGUUUUUUUUCUUCGGACACAGGUCCAAGUGGCUCUUUUUGUCUUAAAGGUUGCAGACCCCUGGCCUACCCUGUGGAAUGCCCUCUCCCCAGAUGUCAAGGAGAAUUGCCAAUUAAGUAGACAUGAGACUGAGGCUUGGGCAUGUUGUUGUUCUGCUAUUUGCUGCACAGCUUCAUCUAACAACGAUGAACUUGGAUUAGCCAUGUCUAAAAGAAGAAGAAGAAAAGACAGAAAGAGUUGGAGAGAAGCAGCUUUGAAAACUACAUCUAACAUAAAAAGGUAAAGGACCCCUGACAGUUAAGUCGAGUCGCGAAUGACUCUGGGGUUGCGGCGCUCAUCUUGCUUUACUGGCCGAGGGAGCUGAUGUUUGUCUGCAGUUUUUCCGGGUCAUGUGGCCAGCAUGACUAAGCCAGCGAAACCAGAGCAGAGCACGGAAACGCCGUUUACCUUCCUGCCGGAGCAGUACCUAUUUAUCUACUUGCACUGGUGGGCUUUCGAAUUGCUAGGUUGGCAGGAGCUGGGACCGAGCAACGGGAGCUCACCCUGUUGUGGGGAUCUGAACCGCCGAUCUUCUAAUCGGCAAGCCCUAGGCUCUGUGGUUUAACCCACAGCGUCCCUACAUCUAACAUAAGUCCUGCUAUUUGAAGAGCUGCUUUGAAAGUUGAGUUCAUACAAGUAGGACCCUGUGAAUAAAUGUUAAAUAUGCAUAUAUUUUAAUAUGAUAUGGAAAGUAUGUUCUAUUGUAUCCAAAAAGCAGCUUGCCCAACUCAUCUUUCUCUUCCUGUCCCCCUCCCUGUAGCCCUACACUCUGAAAACCCUCUCCAGAAGAAAUCCCUUUGCAGAGGGAAGAUGCUAAAGCAUGUCUGUAUACACGCUAUACAUUGUGCACAUUCAGAGCACAUUUUCCCCUUCAGAGAAUUCUGGGCACUGUAGUUUGUUAAGGUUUGCUGGUAAUUGUAGCUCUUUGAGGGUUUAACUACAGUACCCAGAAUUCUUUGAGGCAGAGAAAUGAGCUUCAAACAAGCUUUAAAGGUAUUGUGCAUAUGCACACAAAGAUGGGUUUAGCAAGUUGACUUUUCCUUGCAGAAACCUUAGGAACACAUUAUUUUUCUUGAAAAAAUGGGCUUGGAUCCCAAAGUGCACAUUUCUGGAAAUUACUCAUUUUUAGAGGCUCCUUUGAUUGCUUAUCCCUUCCUCCAUUUUGUUCUGAAACUUUCCAGGAUUAUCUCUGUCAAAUAAAUUGCAUUAUUAAUUUGCCAUUGUUUGGUCUUCUAACUGUUAAUUUCAUAAUUUUAUAUUAUCAAGCUAGCUAAAAUAGCAAAUAUAAUGAUAGGACAUCCAAUGAUGAGGGCACUGAGAGAUUCAAAAUAAUGAAUGCAAAUAGAAAUUACUUUUCAACAUUAAAUAGAUUUUCAAUGCCUUUCCGAGACUAUUU